GGCUAUAGCUCAGUGGAAAAGUCCUGCCUUGCAAGCAGAAGGCCCUAGGUUCAGUUCCUGAUGGCAUCU